rnacentral:rRNA from 1 species
UACAGAGGAGCCAAGCGUUGUCCGGAUUGACUGGGCGUAAAGCGCACGCAGGCGGACGCGCGCGUGGGGUGUGAAAUCUGGCCGCUUAACGGCCAGGGGCCAUCCCAUACGGCGGGGUCUGGAGCGAUGCAGAGGUCGGUGGAAUUGCCGGUGUAGUGGUGAAAUGCGUAGAGAUCGGCAAGAACACCCAGGGGGGAAACCAGCCGACUGGGCAUCUGCUGACGCUGAGGUGCGAGAGCGUGGGGAGCGAACCGG